CAGCAACAUACUCCAGGCGCCUGCGUAGUGUGGCAACACCGAAACUAUAUUAUGUCAGUGAAGAAGAUUUAUUUAAAUUAUAUUCAAAGUGUGCGAGAAGGUGAAAUACUUAACGUGUGUGCGGGAGACGGGUAAUUUGGAUUACAUGAAACUUGGUUACGAUACGUUGAUACCAGCAACAUUUAAAAGGACGAAUAAUCCCACUGAUCUUGUGUAGAUCACAGUUAUCAAAGAUGGCAGACAAAAGCGAGAUUUUAGAAGAUGGGAGAGAAGACAGCUGAUGGAGGAAAUACAAGGACGUGUGAAGCAGAGGAACGCCGAUAUGUGGGAUCGAUGCAAAUGCCGGACAUCGCCUUGGCUAACUACUACCACCACCACCACCACCACCGCCGCUUACCUUCAUCGAGAAGCCGCUCGAGGUGCGUGAAGAUGCCGCAGAGAUUGGGCAAACUGGUCAUGAGCUUCUUCUCGUUCAACAAUUGCAUCAAGUAGUCCGGACUCGGCCUCGGUCGCUCCUUCACUUCGACCUCUCCAACCAUCAUCUUUGCGGCGAGAGCGGAACGCACACAAGCCCGAACACAGAAUCCUUUUUUUGCUGGGGAGAAAACAAAUAAAGAAAAGGGAAGAGAAAAAAAA